UCACAGGGACAUUCUGGUAAUUGUUUCCUUUUAUUUGCUUGGAAUGAGGUUCAGUUUAGUUGAGUGGAAUUUUAAUCUUUAUUUGAAGUGACAUAUUUAGUAAUUGAGUUGCUGGAUACCUCAUUCAUUAUGACUCUUUCACAAGAUUAGAUUUAAAUGAUGCUUGUGCCAGCGGAUAUGCAUUUUGCCUGCUGCUAUGUGCAUUUCAUUGGAGUUAUCAACUCAAACAUCACAAAAGCUUGAGUAUGGUUUUUCACUUGGCAUAGAGCAUUUAUGAGCACAACAUAGUUUUUCAUAAUUUUGGUAUUUGAUAACAAUAGCAAGGACAUGUUCAAAAGCUUUUCUUGCAUGCUCAUAAUAUAACAUCUUCAAUUUAGCAAACUCUAACUCUUAUAGAUAAGAUGCAUAAACAUCUCCUAUCAAACUAUUGAGUUUUCACAUCG
rnacentral:lncRNA from 1 species